ensembl:lncRNA
CUUCGAUCCGGGGACUUGAACUAAAUCCUCGACAACUCCAAGUUAAAACACAUUAUCCAUCUCAACUCGUCGACUACGGGGAGCCUUCUGCAGCCGUAUCUGAUGCCCGGGGAGUGUCACCUUCGCUUGGACUUUCUGAACCCCUCUCUGGCCCACUAAUUCACCCCCAGGUUCCGGAUACAUGAUGAUCAUAAUUAACGUUGUGAUGAAGCCAGAUGCCUUCAUCGAUCAUCUGGACACGCCACUCGUGCUGCUUGUGCUGAAACCCGGCGGACGCUCUUCCUUCACUGUAAUAACACGAGUGUGUAAACCAAGUAUAAAAACUAAACCAACACUACACACAAGCAAUGGUGGUUGUGUGAAGACGCGCCUUUAUGUGCGUCCAUCCUGCCAACCACGUCCAGCAG